GAAGCGGGUUAAAAUUCCUGC
rnacentral:misc_RNA from 1 species